rnacentral:rRNA from 1 species
UACGUAGGGACCGAGCGUUGUCCGGAAUCAUUGGGCGUAAAGAGCGUGUAGGCGGCCACUUAAGUCCUGCGUGAAAUCUUGCGGCUCAACCGCAAGCGGUCGUGGGAAACUGGUUGGCUAGAGUGCGGGAGAGGAGAGUGGAAUUCCUGGUGUAGCGGUGAAAUGCGCAGAUAUCAGGAAGAACACCCGUGGCGAAGGCGGCUCUCUGGAACGCAACUGACGCUGAGACGCGAAAGCGUGGGGAGCAAACAGG